CACGUAGGGGACGAGCGUUGUCCGGAUUCACUGGGCGUAAAGGGCGCGUAGGCGGCGGCUUGAGUCCCUGCGUGAAAUCUCCCGGCUCAACCGGGAGGGUGCGCGGGAUACUGGGCGGCUUGAGGACAUCAGAGGAGAGCGGAAUCCCCGGUGUAGUGGUGAAAUGCGUAGAUAUCGGGGGGAACACCAGUGGCGAAGGCGGCUCUCUGGGGUGCACCUGACGCUGAUGCGCGAAAGCGUGGGGAGCGAACCGG
rnacentral:rRNA from 1 species